rnacentral:rRNA from 1 species
UCGGGAAUUUUGGGCAAUGGGCGAAAGCCUGACCCAGCAACGCCGCGUGAAGGAUGAAGUAUUUCGGUAUGUAAACUUCGAAAGAAUAGGAAGAAUAAAUGACGGUACUAUUUAUAAGGUCCGGCUAACUACGUGCCAGCAGCCGCGGUAAUACGUAGGGACCAAGCGUUGUUCGGAUUUACUGGGCGUAAAGGGCGCGUAGGCGGCAAUUCAAGUCAUCUGUGAAAUCUCCGGGCUUAACUCGGAACGGUCAGAUGAUACUGCUUUGCUAGAGUGCAGAAGGGGCAAUCGGAAUUCUUGGUGUAGCGGUGAAAUGCGUAGAUAUCAAGAGGAACACCUGAGGUGAAGACGGGUUGCUGGGCUGGACACUGACGCUGAGGCGCGAAAGCCAGGGGAGCAAACGGGAUUAGAUACCCAGGUAGUCCCUGAGCGGGCUGGCAAGGCGCAU